GCGACCCCAGGUCAGGCGGGGCUACCCGCUGAAUUUAAGCAUAUCACUAAGCGGAGGAAAAGAAACUUACAAGGAUUCCCCUAGUA
rnacentral:rRNA from 1 species